rnacentral:lncRNA from 1 species
UUGAGCCUAGUUUUGAUUUCUUUCUUCGCUUGCUUAGGGUGUUUAUCUUUGCGGUUUCCUCGCUUUAUCAUUAUAUUCAUUUGCUUUAUUUUAUGCAUAUUUAUAUAUGUUGUUGUUGGGUUGGGGUUGAUGCUACAUGAGUGAAGCUCUAUACCCGAGCUUAGUAUACACACAUGAUAGAUUCGUGCAUAGUCAUGUACAUCUGUGUUUCGC